GUUUAUAGUAACACAUCACUCAAUCAUGUUGCGACACUAACUGGUCAUAUUGGUAGUGUGACUGUACUUAAGGUAACAGAAUCACAAGCUGGCGUCUACAUGUUCUCUGGCUCCUCUGAUUACUCUGUUCAGGUGUGGGAUUUAGAGAAUAUGUUACCGAUACAAGCUCUUAAGAGACACGAGAAGGCAGUUCAGUCAAUGGCAGUGUGGUAUGAUGCUGUAUUUACUGGAUCAGAAGAUGAGGAAAUAAAAGUUUUUAAAUACUUCAAAUUAUAAUGCAUUUUUAUAUUUAAAUAUCAUUAUAUUAAUUAUAAUUACAGCAAUCAUACUACCAUUCCACAGCAAACUCAAGUUUGAUUGAUGUAUUUUUAGUAACGUGUACUAUUUUUGGUAUCACUCUGGUACGCUCCCAA